CCCUUAGAUGUUCUGGGCCGCACGCGCGCUACACUGUUCGACGCAGCGAGUCUUAACCUUGACCGAAAGGUUUGGGUAAUCUUCAGCAAAGUCGAACGUGAUGGGGAUCGAUCAUUGCAAUUAUUGAUCGUGAACGAGGAAUUCCUAGUAAGUGCAAGUCAUCAGCUUGCGCUGAUUACGUCCCUGCCCUUUGUACACACCGCCCGUCGCUACUACCGAUCGGAUGGUUUAGUGAGACCCUCGGACUGGUCCCGUCGAAGCAGGCGACUGCCUCGACGCGCGCGCCGGGAAGAAGGUCGAACUUGACUAUCUAGAGGAAGUAAAAGUCGUAACA
rnacentral:rRNA from 1 species